rnacentral:rRNA from 1 species
AGGGUUCGAUUCUGGCUCAGGAUGAACGCUAGCGACAGGCUUAACACAUGCAAGUCGAGGGGCAGCACGGGAGUAGCAAUACAACUGGUGGCGACCGGCGCACGGGUGAGUAACGCGUAUGCAACCUACCUAUCAGAGGGGAAUAACCCGGCGAAAGUCGGACUAAUACCGCAUAAAACAGGGGCACCGCAUGGUGAUAUUUGUUAAAGAAAUUCGCUGAUAGAUGGGCAUGCGUUCCAUUAGGUAGUUGGUGAGGUAACGGCUCACCAAGCCGACGAUGGAUAGGGGAACUGAGAGGUUGGUCCCCCACACUGGUACUGAGACACGGACCAGACUCCUACGGGAGGCAGCAGUGAGGAAUAUUGGUCAAUGGGCGGGAGCCUGAACCAGCCAAGUCGCGUGAAGGAAGAAGGAUCUAUGGUUCGUAAACUUCUUUUGCAGGGGAAUAAAGUGCGGGACGUGUCCUGUUUUGUAUGUACCCUGAGAAUAAGGAUCGGCUAACUCCGUGCCAGCCGCAGC